AAGGUACACACAAUACCUGUAACUUGUAGCGGACUCUCAGGUGAGCUCAUAGCCAAGUACAUCGAAAAAGCUUAAGAAUCGUGAUAGCUAUUUUUUUUUUUUUCAUUCCACUAGAAGAUCACAAAAAAAGGAAAGUUGGAUAGUCCUGUCACUGCGGAAAUUUUUUUCUUUGGCUCAUUUUCGAAUAAAUGAAAAGUGAACAUCUAUUAGAGUAGAAAAUAUUCUCAGAACAUUAGAGGAAGUGGAGUUUAUUGGGGGAAGACAGGAAGAAAAUCCGUUGACUACCU